GUAACACGUGGGAACGUGCCUUUAGGUUCGGAAUAAGCCCGGGAAACUGGGUCUAAUACCGGAUGUGCCCUUCGGGGGAAAGAUUUAUCGCCUCUAGAGCGGCCCGCGUCUGAUUAGCUAGUUGGUGGUGUAAUGGACCACCAAGGCUACGAUCAGUAGCUGGUCUGAGAGGAUGACCAGCCACAUUGGGACUGAGACACGGCCCAAACUCCUACGGGAGGCAGCAGUGGGGAAUCUUGCGCAAUGGGCGAAAGCCUGACGCAGCCAUGCCGCGUGUAUGAUGAAGGUCUUAGGAUUGUAAAAUACUUUCACCGGUGAAGAUAAUGACUGUAGCCGGAGAAGAAGCCCCGGCUAACUUCGUGCCAGCAGCCGCGGUAAUACGAAGGGGGCUAGCGUUGCUCGGAAUUACUGGGCGUAAAGGGAGCGUAGGCGGACAUUUAAGUCAGGGGUGAAAUCCCAGAGCUCAACUCUGGAACUGCCUUUGAUACUGGGUGUCUUGAGUGUGAUAGAGGUAUGUGGAACUCCGAGUGUAGAGGUGAAAUUCGUAGAUAUUCGGAAGAACACCAGUGGCGAAGGCGACAUACUGGAUCAUUACUGACGCUGAGGCU
rnacentral:rRNA from 1 species